GGCCCGAUGGUUUAGUGGUAUAAUUCUCGCUUAGGGUGUUCCUGAGCAAUUUGCGAGAGGUCCCGGGUUCAAUUCCCGGUUGGGCCC
rfam:Yarrowia lipolytica strain CLIB122 chromosome A complete sequence.